rnacentral:lncRNA from 1 species
UGGGGUUUGCCCUCCCAAGGAUAGGGCUGCUCUGUUGGUGUGAAUACCUUUGGCUUGAUGGGUGGCCAAGGGCCAGCUGUUCCUGGCACUAUGUAUGAAACUUGGACAUCAUGUGGUGCUGAAGGAAACUGGAGUAAGAAAAGAAGGGAGACAGACUACAAGCUCUUCCAAGGGUCAGGAGGCCAACAUACUGCCUUUCAGAUACCAGCCAGCAAGCAGGCUGUGAGAAGCCCAAGCUACAAAGAGAAACCAUCUGUAGACAUUCUAGGAGGGAAACAGCUUCAAAUGAGCUCCCCAACAAUACCAGACAGACUGCUAUCCAUUUGAGUGAGCCAUCUUGGAUGUCCAGCUAAGUCAA